GCAUUUGUUGUGAAGUGGUAAGCACGAUCGACGCGUAACCGAGAGGUCCGUGGUUCGAUUCCCGGCGAAGGCG
rnacentral:tRNA from 1 species